rnacentral:rRNA from 1 species
UACGGGGGGGGCAAGCGUUGUUCGGAAUUACUGGGCGUAAAGGGCUCGUAGGCGGCCAACUAAGUCGGAUGUGAAAUCCCCAAGCUUAACUUGGGAACUGCAUCCGAUACUGGAUGGCUUGAAUCCGGGAGAGGGAUGCAGAAUUCCAGGUGUAGCGGUGGAAUGCGCAGAUAUCAGGAGGAACACCAAUAGCGAAGGCAGCUCGCUGGGACGGUAUUGACGCUAAGGCGCGAAAGCGUGGGGAGCAAACAGG